AUUGAACGCUGGCGGCAGGCCUAACACAUGCAAGUCGAGCGGAGCGGCGGACGGGUGAGUAACACGUGGGAACCUGCCCAUCAGAAGGGGAUAACACUUGGAAACAGGUGCUAAUACCGCAUACUAUCAGAUGAGCCUAGGUCGGAUUAGCUCGUUGGUGGGGUAAAGGCCUACCAAGGCGACGAUCCGUAACUGGUCUGAGCGGAUGAUCAGUCACACUGGAACUGAGACACGGUCCAGACUCCUACGGGAGGCAGCAGUGGGGAAUAUUGGACAAUGGGCGAAAGCCUGAUCCAGCCAUGCCGCGUGUGUGAAGAAGGUCUUCGGAUUGUAAAGCACUUUAAGUUGGGAGGCGUUACCAACAGAAUAAGCACCGGCUAACUUCGUGCCAGCCGCCGCGGUAAUAC
rnacentral:rRNA from 1 species